CAUGGGGGCUUGCAUGGAGAACGUGGAGCCCAGACACUGUGCCCUUUGCAGACUUCACCCCAGCUGACCCUUUCUGCCCACAACAGGGAGCUCCAUACAUCCCACAGCUUAAGAAAGGGAAUCCCUGUUGGAAGAUAGUAUCAUUCUCCAGUCACUGGCAGCUGUCCUUGAAAACAGUUGUAAACAGCUGCAGAGGAAGUGGAGUGAGCCCUGAGCCCAGUGACCAGAAGCCCUACGGGUGUUUCCUCGGAACUCACUGCUGAUGUCUGGCCCAACUCUACAGCUGUAAGAGCGAUGCUGAACUUAACAACCUUCUAGGCCCUCUGACAUACUGAGCCCACGACUUCAUAGAAGGGUACACACCAGAUGCAGGUAAACUGCCAGCAACCCGACUGGCUCUAUUGGGUAGAGAGGGCCAGGCCAGAGUCCAGCACCCAGGGGAGAACCAGAGCUCCUUGGCGAUCUGUAUGGAACU
rnacentral:lncRNA from 1 species